rnacentral:rRNA from 1 species
AGAAUCCCGUGAACCAUCGAGUUUUUGAACGCAAGUUGCGCCCAAAGCCAUUAGGCGAGGACGUCUGCCUGGGCGUCACGC